GCUUUCUUAACUUAGUCCUUGGUGUUUUAUGCUAAAUGCUGACCAUUCUGUACCUUUGUUGCACAGGCUUUUACCAAAAAAGAAAGAAAGAAAGAAAAAAAAACACUGGCCAGUGGGCUUACCUGUGCCUGUUGGGAAGAGCUAUGCCCAUGAGAGUCCCAUGGAUCUUAUUCCUGAAAACGGGAUUCCUUGGGAUGCAGCCCGGGAAAUAACAAUGAGAACAGCUCCUCUUUUGUCACAAAGUGUGAUCGAAGAUACUGUGAAUGCUGCUGUCAAGUUCCAUCCAACAGAAAGGCAGUGUGAAAGCCUCAUGGUGUGUCCCCAUCCAGCCCAUCCACCGUACUCACCAGACCUGGCACUGCGUGGCUUCUGCUCUGCCCUGAAAUCAGAAUGACCGUGAAAGGUAUUGAAUCAAUUUAGAAAAUCGACACAGCCAGGGCAGUGCAACUAAAGACUCACAGAAGAGACUUCCAGAAAUGUUUGAGAAAGUGGCAAAAUGAUGGACCAAGUGUGUUCAAAGUGAGGGGGAGAGUUUGAGAGGGAUUCAUGGCAAUGUGUCUUUCACUGUAAUAAUUUUCUUAAAUAUAAAUGCUCACUGUAUAUUCUGACCACACCUUGUGUGUAGAAAAUAUUUAAAUUGAAGUUCAAAAGAUAAGGCGGUUAACACAGAGGAAACGAUGAUUGAAAAAGUUAGCGGUAAGUAGUAAUUGCAUUUCUUGUCCAUGAUGACCACCGGUCCUGGCUAUGUCUUAUUUAUAGGUAAAAAAUCAGUGACAUUUUUGCAGGGUUCUACCUUGCCUUAACUUUUUCUAUGGUGACCCGCACACAGAGAGUUUUAAGAAGGUCAGAC
rnacentral:lncRNA from 1 species